rnacentral:tRNA from 1 species
GCGCGAUYAGCCUACUAGCGGGAGAGCGCUUCCCUGACACGGAAGAGGUCACUGGUUCAAUCCCAGUAUCGCGCACCA